AUAUAUAUGUGUGUGUGUAAUUUUCAUACAUUGUGUGCAUAAUUAAGUUUAAUUCAUUAGUAUUUAUUAGCCAUCGGGGAUCUUUCUGAAAGGAAAAAAGAGCUAUUUGUUGUUGGCUUCAUCUGGCACGAGCGUGUCAAGUCCCCUAUUCCACUAUUAGGCUUAUGCAAAUCUUGCAUGGGCAUGCCAAGCCCCUUAUUUCUUGAUUAGGCUGUUGACGCAUCUAGCACGGGCAUGCCAUCCAUGCACACGAGCGUGUCAUUAAGCUUAUGAGUUAUUUCCUUAUUUUGUAUGUUUUUAGUGUCUUUGGGCCUAAACAAAUUUUAGGUCACGUCUUUAGCUUAGAAAAAUUUUAUAAAAGGGCUCCGACUUUGAGUAUUGACAACUUAGGAGAGUUUUGGAGUUUUCUUAGCUUUUUUCUUCUUCAAUCGGUACUCCUUCUUUCUCUUUUAUGUUUUCUUUACGAUUGCUCAUGACUAUGUGUGAGUAGUUCUCUUUGUUUUGGGAUUAAAUCAUAGCCAUUGACAAUUAUUUUAUGUUAAUUUAAUUUCUUUGAGGUUUUUUGUAUUUCGUCUUCCAAUUCUUUGGGAUUCCCAAUGUCCUCUCCAACUCCAUUUUCCUCAUUUCUUCAUUCAACUCUUGUCAUCGUGCUAUCUAGCACAACCAAUUAUCUCUCUCUUGAUUUCCUACUUCUACAACUCUUGUCGAAAAGUUUUAUCGACGUGAACUAACAUUGGUGUCUAAACAUUGUUUUCAAAGUCACUUGGCACAAACUCACACUAGAAAGUGAAUAGUAAAUCAAAUGAGAAAAAAAAUUGUUUUUUUAAAUAGCAAACCACGUGUCUCUUGAAAGGAAUGUGAAGAAAAGAAAAGCAAGUGUUGUCUUCUAAUGAGUGUCCAAAGGUAUUUAAAUUUACAUAGGAAAAAGUGAAAAAAGAUAGUGUCCAUUGAUUUUAGUCCAACAUGAUCUCUUUCCACCAUCGCCUAUGUGAAUUCAGAUGUAUCUGGAAGCUCAUUAGAAGGGUUUGAGUUUGCACCAAGUGGAUUCCCCCAACAAUGUUUUGACGUUGAUGUCAAUCGUGUCGAUAAAGCAUUUUGGCAAGAAUUGGAGAAGGAGGAUACCAAGAAAGAGAUAAUCGGCAAUAAAAUGGCACGACGACAAAAUCUAGAAAAAAUGAGAGGAAAAUGACAUUGGAGAGAACAUUAAGAAUCCCAAUGCAAAUACUAGAAGGGAUCUCGUUUCGAGAACGAGCUUCAGUGCCUUGGAAUCAAAAUCAAAUAAGAAGUAACUUAGUUGAUACACAUUAACAUAUUUGAUUGUCACAACUCAAAUUGAUGGCAUACAACCUUUUACUCAAACUACCAGUAACAAGGAUCAAUUGUUCAUACUAGUUAAUGAAUAUAAUUAUUUUGAACAACUAAA